GUGCUUGCUACGGCUACACAUACUAAAACUGGAUCGAUACAGAGAAGAUUAGCAUGGCCCCUGCGAAAGAUGACAUGCAAAUACGUGAAGCGCUUCAUAUUUAA
ensembl:snRNA U6 U6 spliceosomal RNA